rnacentral:rRNA from 1 species
AGAGCGAACGCUGGCGGCAGGCCUAACACAUGCAAGUCGAACGGACCCUUCGGGGUUAGUGGCGGACGGGUGAGUAACACGUGGGAACGUGCCUUUUGGUUCGGAAUAGCUCCUGGAAACGGGUGGUAAUGCCGAAUGUGCCCUUCGGGGGAAAGAUUUAUCGCCAUUAGAGCGGCCCGCGUCUGAUUAGCUAGUUGGUAAGGUAAUGGCUUACCAAGGCGACGAUCAGUAGCUGGUCUGAGAGGAUGACCAGCCACAUUGGGACUGAGACACGGCCCAAACUCCUACGGGAGGCAGCAGUGGGGAAUCUUGCGCAAUGGGCGAAAGCCUGACGCAGCCAUGCCGCGUGAAUGAUGAAGGUCUUAGGAUUGUAAAAUUCUUUCACCGGGACGAUAAUGACGGUACCCGGAGAAGAAGCCCGGCUAACUCGUGCCAGCAGCCGC